AGACCAUGGAGGAAAGGCUGUGUGAAGACCCAGUCAGAAGGCAGCUCUCUAUGAUCCAGCAAGGGAGGCCUCACUAGACACCAAAUGCUGCCAGGUUUUGAUCUUGGACUUUACAGACUCCAGAACUAUGUGAAAAUAAAUGUCUGUUGUGUUAAGGCACUCUGUCUGCGGCAUUUUGUUAGGGGCAGCUGGAAUGGACAAGCCGUCUCUGUUGGAGUAUGUGUGGUUAGCUGUCAGCCUCCUUGUUUGACUGAAUUAUGUACUUUCUGUGUAUCUCCAUGAAGGAGACAGGACUGUUCACUUGCACUGCGGACCCUCUCUUUCCUGUAUGAGGUCCUAUGCUGUGAAGGAACAUUGGGCCAGAACUCAAGCAAGAGCAGUCAUCCAAAGCCUUUCCAAAAGGUCUUGGUAACUAUAAGACUCCUUCUGAAUGAGUCAGGAGUCAGGAGAGUGCUGAUGUCUACAGGUCUAUGUAGAAUGUGAAAGCUGAAUGAUGUUGUUUUGAAUGGUCUGUGAUUUCCCUGUAUGUAUUCAUUCAUUCAUUUACUUUUCAUUUCUAUAAUUGCUUAUGAUCUUUUUAAAAUAUCCUUGUCCCCUAGAGAUACCCACAUUAUUAUUAUUAUUAUUAUUAUUUUACCAUCACCCACAUGCUUUUAUAAAACCUGUGAAAGACUGGAAUACUAUGAUAUCCCUUACAUUUGUCCUAUCUGCCCUGUCAUUUUCUUGUGAGGUGUACUUAAUUUAUCAUGUACAAAUCUCUAAAUAAACACCAUCUUUUCU
rnacentral:lncRNA from 1 species